CAGCCGCCGCGGUAAUACGUAGGGUGCAAGCGUUAAUCGGAAUUACUGGGCGUAAAGCGUGCGCAGGCGGUUAUAUAAGACAGAUGUGAAAUCCCCGGGCUCAACCUGGGAACUGCAUUUGUGACUGUAUAGCUAGAGUACGGCAGAGGGGGAUGGAAUUCCGCGUGUAGCAGUGAAAUGCGUAGAUAUGCGGAGGAACACCGAUGGCGAAGGCAAUCCCCUGGGCCUGUACUGACUCUCAUGCACGAAAGCGUGGGGAGCAAACAGGAUUAGAUACCCCUGUAGUCCCUGUCUCUUAUAU
rnacentral:rRNA from 1 species